UAUUGCACUAACCUUCGCCUUG
rnacentral:miRNA from 1 species